rnacentral:rRNA from 1 species
AGAACGAACGCUGGCGGCAGGCUUAACACAUGCAAGUCGAACGCCCCGCAAGGGGAGUGGCAGACGGGUGAGUAACGCGUGGGAAUCUACCCAAUUCUUCGGAACAACUGAGGGAAACUUCAGCUAAUACCGGAUACGCCCUACGGGGGAAAGAUUUAUCGGAAUUGGAUGAGCCCGCGUUGGAUUAGCUAGUUGGUGAGGUAAUGGCUCACCAAGGCGACGAUCCAUAGCUGGUCUGAGAGGAUGAUCAGCCACACUGGGACUGAGACACGGCCCAGACUCCUAUGGGAGGCAGCAGUGGGGAAUAUUGGACAAUGGGCGCAAGCCUGAUCCAGCCAUGCCGCGUGAGUGAUGAAGGCCUUAGGGUUGUAAAGCUCUUUCAGUAGGGAAGAUAAUGACGGUACCUACAGAAGAAGCCCCGGCUAACUUCGUGCCAGCAGCCGC